rnacentral:rRNA from 1 species
UACGUAGGGGGCCAGCGUUGUCCGGAAUCAUUGGGCGUAAAGCGCGCGCAGGCGGUCCUUCAAGUCAGAGGUGAAAGCCCAGAGCUCAACUCUGGAACGGCCUUUGAAACUAGAGGACUUGGGUACGGGAGAGGUGAGUGGAAUUCCGAGUGUAGAGGUGAAAUUCGUAGAUAUUCGGAAGAACACCAGUGGCGAAGGCGGCUCACUGGCCCGUUACCGACGCUCAGGCGCGACAGCGUGGGGAGCAAACAGG